CUCAGGACGAACGCUGGCGGCGUGCUUAACACAUGCAAGUCGAGCGGUAAGGCCCUUUCGGGGGUACGACGAGCGGCGAACGGGUGAGUAACACGUGGGUGACCUCGCCCUCAGCUCUGGGAUAAGCCUGGGAAACCGGGGUCUAAUACCGGAUAUGACUCCAUGACGCAUGUUGUGGGGUGGAAAGCCUUGUGCGGCUGAGGAUGGGCCCGCGGCCUAUCAGCUUGUUGGUGGGGGGAUGGCCUACC
rnacentral:rRNA from 1 species